CAGAGUUGCAAAACUCCUAACCCUUUGUGAACGAACCUACUAGUUGCCUCGGCGGCGAGCCCCCUUGGAGCGGACCGCCGGAGGAAUACAAACUCUUUGCAUUAUAGUAUCUCUGAUUACUUAUUCAAUAAGUUA
rnacentral:misc_RNA from 1 species